GUGAUUCUGGCCGAUGGAGAGCAUCUCUUAGGCACUCAAGAUUUCUGUUCAAAAACCUGGAAAGGCAGAAAAAGCAGAGCUGAUUAAUGAAUGGAGGCUAACUGAGGCUGGAUGCUCAAUUCUCACUUUCAAAGCCAGUGAUGAUGCAAAAUCCACUCGGCAUCCUCAACUCAGUCCAGGAAUCUUGUUCCUUAAUGGGGAAAAAUGGAAGCACAGUGACCUGGCAGCUGGGGCUGGCAGUAAGCAAAGAUAUUGUUUACGGCAAUAAAUCAUAGCUGACCAUGGGCCCCUUGUGUGAAGUCAGAGAAUGAUGGGCAGGCAUUAGGGGAACAGGGGAGUGAGGAUGUUUGAUGAAAAGCAUUGUGUUACCAGGGAUGUGGGAGAACAGCAGGAGCAAACUAACAAAAUCCUGGGGCGCAAGGAAGGCCUGUUGGUUUGUUUUUAAUUGCAUAGAACACGGUUGCCAGAAUUUUAAAUUGUAGCGCUCUCGGCAUGUAAUUAAGCGAGCGGGCUUAGUUGGCACCAACUGGGAUACCAGGCUGUUGAUACAGCUUAUGAUCUUCUGAUAUUAAAAUUUCAGGGGCUGAGUGUGUGUGUGUCCCUCUCCUAUUGGUACAAUUUUUCUCUGGGCCUCCAAGCUCCACGUAAAAAUGACCAGCUCCCUUCAUGUGUUUUGUUUUGGCGCCCGGAUGAAAGCCCCAUCUAGGUCUCAGUCUGUCCUGCGUCAGUAACAUUCAGUUGAAGGGGUUUGUGGAUCGGAAACAAAGAUGGAUCAUCUCAGCCCAACCAUGGCAUCCCAGUCAUUACAAAUGCUCCCGUGCAAUAUCUUCUUUGGAUUAUCGUCACAGCAUUUUAGAGCUGAAUAUGAACUUGGCAAUUACCUUCUCACUUUAUAUAUGAGAAAUCUGAGGCCAGAGUUGUGGACUUCCUGAAGGUGACUCAGGUGAUGGGUGGUAUCAGGAAAUGCCCGGGACCGGAACCUGGGCCCAGGGUCCUCUCUGGUAUAACCCUGAGGCCCCUCCCAUAGCUCUAGGCUGUCUCUUCUCCAUCCUGCUCCCUGCCCAACCUCCUUCCACAUGAACUCCCACCCUCUUGAAAUACUGCUGUUCUCCCAGUCUUUUGACCAGAAGUAUGGCAGCCCUGCUGCAGAUGUUUCAAGGAGAGAGAAGAGGAAGGUCACAGCCCAGGUAACUUAAAUGCUUUAUGAAAUGGUAGACGAUAGUUCACUUUUCAAGUCACGAGGGAACCAUUUCACCUUGGCAAAGGCAACUUACUUAGUGGACCGUAAUGGCCUGGAAGAGUUCCUGCCCCUCCCCAAAGUGAGCAAUUUCCUCUGUUCAGCUCUGCCUGCACAGGCCCAUUACAUUAUAAAUACACUGUGUGUUUACCUGGCAAUAAUCUGGAGUGGGAACCUUUCAAGAGGUUCUCUUCGAUCCUUCCUAGCAAUGCGCUCAGAAAUGUGGGUGGGUGGGUGGGGGCAGAUGGAGGGCCUCUUCCUAGAGGAUGAAAAGGAAGGCACACAGAAGGUCCCGAGAGUGACCAGAGGUCAGGACGGGGUCUCUGAGCCUCGCAGCCACCCCUCCUUCAUGCUGCCUAUUUGGACCUUGUUGCUACCGCAGCAGAUAGAGGAUUUGAACGAGACCCAGUUUCCCCUUCCCCGGGCCAGUGAAGGAGGAGUUUCUCAUAUGCUCUUUAUUAGGGGUGGAUAAAGGAGAAAUAGCUGAGGAUCUUUGGGAUUGAAAAGCAUUUUUGUUUGUUUACGGUGACCAUGUCCUGGAUGUCUUGGAUGCCCUGAUUUCAAAUAUUCUGUCUUUAUAAGUUCAUGUACUUAACCGAAAUUUACAUUCCCGUUUUUGGUUCUAAAGAUAGAGACAUUACAUUUAUUUGGAAGUGGAAUUCUUCACCCCCUUCCUGGUAUCUGACUUUGAACCACACAAAGAACAGAAUCAACACCCCGCCCUCACAAUCACACCAGCUAAUUAUCUAGGGAGCCUGGGACGGGGCCCAGCAAGGCAGAGUGUGUUUGUGAGCCUGGGGUUGGGAAUCCGUUCUGGGUUCAAACCCCAGCUUCCAGCAUCAUAAUGGACAACCCUUUUCUAAGGCUGUUUCAGCGCAUUAGCCUCCAGGUUACCACUCUAAUCCUUGGUGCCUGACUCAGGGCCUUUGCACGUGUGCUUUCCUUUCUCUGGAAUGCUCUUCCCCCAGAGAUCCACACGCCUACACCCCUGCCUCCUUCAAGCCUUUGCCCAAUGUGAUCGGGUGGGGGCCUUUCACGGCCGCUCUCUAAAAUUGCAGUCCGCCACGCCCUCACUCCAUCUUCUUCCUUGCUUUGUUUCUCCACAGCACUUAUCACCCUCUGGCAUAUUGUACAAUUCACUUAUAUUUCUUAUUUAUUGUCCGUCUCCCCCAGCUACAAUGUAAGCUCCACGAGGGCAGAGAUUUUCGUCGGCUUUGUUCAGGGCUCCAACCCCAGUGUCUGGAACAGUGCCUGACUAUUGGUAGGAACUUAACAAAUACAAAUGGAUACAUCAAUUUGAGCAAAAGUCACUUACCUUUCUGAGCCUAUGUCCUCCCUCUCUUAAAGGAUGGUAUGAGAAUUAAGUAAGACAACUGCUGUAGAUAAAAAUAACAGCCAACAUAUAUUUCGUACUUGCUUAUUCAGUGCCAGUUUUCAAAUGCGCUAAAUGCUUAAUGGGGAUUAUUUGGUUUCAUCCUCCCCCAAAUCCUAUGAGGUAUUCGUUUUAUCUUCAUUUUACACAAGAGGAACCUGAGGCUUAGAGAAGUUGAGUCAUCUAUCCAGGGUCACACACAAUGCAGGUCCAUAUUUGUUUGAGCCCAGAGCCAGCACUCUUAACCCUGACAGCAUCGUGCACAGGGCCUGCUGUGUAGCCGUGGCUUGGCCAGGGCUAAUUCCCUUCUCCAAGUCACAGAGCGUAAGAAGCUUGUGGCCCGUCUGCCCGCUCUUCUGUUGCGAACCUGUCCUUCCCACUGAAACUUGACAUCUUGGAAGCCUCGCCUGUCCUCGGGAGGCAUCGUGGUAAAUGUAGCAGAGGAGACAGUAGGUUUGUUCUUACUGUGUGAUCUUGGGUAAUCACGUCCGCUCCCUGGGCCCCAGGUUCUACUGGUUUGAUGAGCACUGAGGUCUCUCCCAGCUCGAAACAGCCCUCAGGACCGUGGAGGACACCACCGGGUUGUGUGGUGUAUGAAUCAUGACGGAAGAUCCUGCCCCCAGGCUGUGGCCUUAACCCCACUCUCCUCAAUAAUACAGUCUAUCCUGUUCUGACAGUUGCUGGCCUUUCCCCUCCCACACCUCUAGAGCUUGAAUUUCUGGCUGCUGGAUUUGAGGGGGAGGAUGGAGGAAGCAACAUAUCUAGUGAUUUUCUAAGCACUUCUCUAGGGGUGAGACCAAGAGAAAUAAAAGGAAGGCUUGAGAGCCCUUCCCACCCAUAGUCACUGCCUGGGACAGCAUCACUGCAGGAAAUGGACUUCCUUUGUGGGCUCACGGGGGAGAUAUGCCCAGCCCUCCGGAAGCUCUGCAGAAGGGCUUGGGCACUGCUUGUAAAAGCUCAUCUGCCCAACAGCCCCUUUCCGAUUUCCCACCACACGUCCCGCCAAAAGAGCCCCCGGGAUCCCCUUAUUUGCCAACCCUAGAACUGUCUCACUUCAGUUCCAAGUUCUGAACUGGGAUUUCUUCCCCCUCCUUGUGAAAUGGAGGUGACAUGGAGGUUGAUCAAGCCGCGCUAGCCGAGGUCUUGGGUUGUUCUCACUGAGUCAUUCACUUACUCAUCAUUCAUUCAUUCAACUUUUAUGUCCUAGAUUAUUUGCAAGGGAUUCAGAGAGGAAACUAGUCAAAUCCUGGCAAACUUAAAUUGGGUAAUUAGUCAUUUGAGGAGAGUUACUAAAGGGACUUUUCAAAGGUGGAUAGAGUGUAGAAAAACAAGGCGUAGUGUAGUACCCUGGAGCUAGUAAUAUAAGGAUGAUGUUAUCAACCCUGGGCUGAAGGGGUAAAAGGAGAGAACAUUCCCAGAAUCCAAAAAGAGAGAGCCACGUGGAGAGGGCCACCUGGCAGGAGCUGUGUGUGACCUUAGGUUGAAGGACUUAUCUUGCUGGUGGGGUGAAAACCUUGACCUCCUUCACUUCCCUCCAUUGGCCGAACUCUGUUGAUAUAGUUGGUAUGAGUCAGCCUCUUGGGGUUCACAGCAGGGCAGAGAAGAGCAGAGUGGGGAUCUGGAACGACAAACAGAUUUCUAGCUCAGAAAUCAGGCACAGCUUCCGUCCUCAAGGAGCUUGCAUACCAGAAGGGGAGACAGGAGUGCAAAUUACAGUGUGAUAAAUGCUUUAACAAAGACAUGAGCAAAGGACAGGAGGAGCUCAGGGUCAGGAAAUGAAAUCUGCGGGGGAGGGUGUUAAUGUGUGUGAAGGUAGGGGGAGGUGGUUGGUUCCUGGGAAGGGGUUUGCAGACAAACUGUUUCUCAAAUGAUGAUCAGGCUUCUUGGAGGAAGUAGUAUCUUGAACUGAGACCUGAAAUAUCAAUAAGAAUUGACCAGAAGAAGAAAAAAAAGAAAAGGAGUCCAGGCAGACUGAAAAACAUGUAUAAAGGCUGGAGGCUGAAGGAGAGUAUAGACCUCUUUGAGAAAUUGACUGAUGUCCUUAUAAGAAGAGGAGAUUAAAACUCAGACAGGCAUAGAGAGAAGACCGUGUGUAGACAAGGAGAAGAUGGCCAUCUACAAGCCAAAGAGAGAGGCCUCCAGAAGAAACCAACCCUGCCUACGCCUUCACCUCCAACAUCUAACCUCCAGAACUAUUCUUAUCAUCUCAUUUGAGGCUGCCCUGGAGGUUCUUGUGACCUCAGUUUUCCUUGGGACAAUGUAUUGGGUGUGAAAGGAGGGACAAGGAGAGUGUGACCUGGCAGAGAAUGCCCUACAGCUACCCUGCCAGCCUCUGGGAGAAGACACAGCCCGAGUGGUUU